rnacentral:rRNA from 1 species
UACGAAGGUGGCGAAUGUUGCUCGGAUUCACUGGGCGUAAAGCGUCGGUAGGAGGCUUGUUAAGUUAGGUGUGAAAGCCCCGCGCUCAACGUGGGAAUUGCACUUAAAACUAACUGGCUUGAAGGUAUGAGAGGAAGGCGGAAUAACUGGUGUAGAGGUAAGAUUCAUAGAUAUCAGUUGGAACACCCAUGGCGAAGGCAGCUUUCUGGCAUAUUCUUGACUCUGAGCGACGACAGCGUGGGGAGCAAACAGG